GAUAGGAUCUGAUAAAACCGCAUGCCGUUGACUGCGAUAUUGAUGCGGUGUCUGUUGCUCAUAAAUUUUCAUUAGUUAGCUUUGUCGUUUUUGCUUGCCGUCCCCACCAUUCCAUUAACAAACACUAUCUGUCCCUUUGUGCUGCUCUAUUCCCUUACCAUUUUCAGCACUCGGACCAUUUGCUGCUCAAUGCCCAAACCCUAGCCCGGACCAUGUUCUCCAUUAACGACAUCGUCUUCGAGCCCGAUGACAUUAAGUUCGGCACUCUCUGGUGGUUCGUUUACGCUGGGGUUUCCUGCCUCCUUGUGCUUUUUGCUGGGAUCAUGUCCGGCCUUACCUUGGGCUUGAUGUCUCUUGGCCUCGUUGAGCUUGAAAUUCUACAGAGGAGUGGCUCCUCCACUGAGAAGAAGCAAGCUGCUACUAUCCUACCCGUGGUCAAGAAACAACACCAACUUCUCGUAACUCUGCUUCUAUGUAAUGCUUGUGCUAUGGAGGCGCUUCCUAUAUACCUUGACAAAAUUUUUCAUCCCUUUGUUGCUGUUCUGCUGUCUGUUACAUUUGUCCUUGCUUUUGGGGAGAUCAUUCCGCAAUCCGUAUGUUCAAGAUAUGGACUUUUUGUUGGUGCGAAUUUUGUGUGGUUAGUCCGUAUCUUGAUGAUCAUCUGUUAUCCCAUUGCUUACCCGAUAGGGAAGGUUCUGGAUGUUGCACUAGGACACAAUGAUGCUAUGUUUAGACGAGCUCAGCUUAAGGCACUUGUCUCUAUCCAUAGUCAGGAGGCUGGCAAGGGGGGUGAACUCACGCAUGACGAAACAACAAUUAUCAGUGGAGCACUAGAUCUAACUGAAAAGACUGCAGAGGAGGCUAUGACUCCUAUUGAAUCAACUUUUUCUUUAGAUGUCAAUUCCAAAUUGGACUGGGAAGCAAUUGCGAAAAUUCUUGCACGAGGUCAUAGUCGUGUCCCUGUGUAUUCCGGAAGUCAAAAGAACGUUAUUGGGCUCCUUCUGGUGAAGAGUCUGCUGACAGUUCGGGCAGAAACUGAGACUCCAGUCAGUGCAGUUUCCAUACGACGGAUUCCUAGGGUUCCAUCAGAUAUGCCUUUGUAUGAUAUCCUUAACGAGUUUCAGAAGGGAAGCAGUCAUAUGGCAGCUGUGGUGAAGGUUCAUGCAAAGAGCAAGAAUUCUCAGCCUACCAGUGAUGGAGAGAAAUUCAAUGAAAAAAAAUUUGCCAAUGGGGAUUCUCAGUUACAUGAGCCCUUGCUAAACAAGCAUGAUGAGAAAUCAGAAAGUUUCCUCAUUGAUGUUGAGAAAGCUGUGAGGCCUACCAUGAUCAAUGUGAAACAAAUUCUUGGUGCAGCAACAAAUAUGUCUCAUUUGUCAGAGGAUGUUGAAGAUGGGGAAGUCAUUGGUAUUAUCACACUUGAGGAUGUUUUUGAAGAACUUUUGCAAGAGGAAAUUGUGGAUGAGACAGAUGUAUAUGUUGAUGUACAUAAAAGAAUUCGUGUGGCUGCUGCAGCAGCUGCUUCUUCUGUGGCUAGAGCUCCAUCCAAUCGGAGGCUGACUGGUCAAAAGCCUGCAGGUGGUCAAGCUAAGCAGAGCCAGAUCACAAAGAAGUAUGGCGGAUGAUAUUGGACAAAGUUCCAUGGAAUACAGCAAGACUUUUCAGGAAAUAAGAGGAGACUUGAUAAUUCCAGUUCGACAAUUACGCUAUAGGUUCGAAUGUUUAAUUUCUUUGACGUCCGUGGCUUCUGUAAUCAGUAGGUAGAUCACCUUACAAUAUCAGGUCUUGGUUUUUUUCUCUCUGUAUACUAAUCUUUUGUCCAUAGUGAACUUGAAAUCAGACAGGCUUGUGAAAAAUUUUAAAAGUUUCAGCUGUUGUUACACCAGCCACAUCAGUCUAGUAAUCACAUGGUUAACGUGGUUUCUGGGAGAGUGGAGCAGGGUGAGUGAAGUUGUCCCCCCUGUAUCUCCUCAAUUAGGGAAUGCCCUGUGUUGUGUUGGUCAAAUUUAUUACAUUAUUUGAC
rnacentral:misc_RNA from 1 species